UACGGGGGGGCAAGCGUUGUUCGGAAUUACUGGGCGUAAAGGGCGCGUAGGCGGUCUACUAAGUUGGAUGUGAAAACUCUGGGCUUAACCCAGAGCCUGCAUUCAAAACUGAUAGGCUGGAGUUCUGGAGGGGAUAGCGGAAUUCCUGGUGUAGCGGUGAAAUGCGUAGAUAUCAGGAGGAACACCGGUGGCGAAGGCGGCUAUCUGGACAGAAACUGACGCUGAGGCGCGAAAGCAUGGGGAGCAAACAGG
rnacentral:rRNA from 1 species